UACGGAGGGUGCAAGCGUUAUCCGGAUUCACUGGGUUUAAAGGGUGCGUAGGUGGGCAGUUAAGUCAGUGGUGAAAUCUCCGGGCUUAACCCGGAAACUGCCAUUGAUACUAUCUGUCUUGAAUACCGUGGAGGUGAGCGGAAUAUGUCAUGUAGCGGUGAAAUGCUUAGAUAUGACAUAGAACACCAAUUGCGAAGGCAGCUCACUACACGAAUAUUGACACUGAGGCACGAAGGCGUGGGAUCAAACAGG
rnacentral:rRNA from 1 species